CCGCCUACGAAAACGGUGCACGACGCUCCUCCGUACGACUGUUCUUGUUUCAACCCAUCGUCAGAGCGUCUCGUAGUAACGCGAGCAUCGCGGUCUGACAGCAGCUGUUUUCACUGCCGCUUAAACAAGCCCUGGAUGCUAAUUGAAAUAUCGCGGCCACUAAAAUUCUUGGCAAGUUUCCCUCUCUCGAGCCUGCGAGCUGACGAGCGAGCGACCGGA
rnacentral:misc_RNA from 1 species